rnacentral:rRNA from 1 species
GGACGGUAGCACAGAGGAGCUUGCUCCUUGGGUGACGAGUGGCGGACGGGUGAGUAAUGUCUGGGGAUCUGCCCGAUAGAGGGGGAUAACCACUGGAAACGGUGGCUAAUACCGCAUAACGUCGCAAGACCAAAGAGGGGGACCUUCGGGCCUCUCACUAUCGGAUGAACCCAGAUGGGAUUAGCCAGUAGGCGGGGUAAUGGCCCACCUAGGCGACGAUCCCUAGCUGGUCUGAGAGGAUGACCAGCCACACUGGAACUGAGACACGGUCCAGACUCCUACGGGAGGCAGCAGUGGGGAAUAUUGCACAAUGGGCGCAAGCCUGAUGCAGCCAUGCCGCGUGUAUGAAGAAGGCCUUCGGGUUGUAAAGUACUUUCAGCGGGGAGGAAGGCGAUGCGGUUAAUAACCGCGUCGAUUGACGUUACCCGCAGAAGAAGCACCGGCUAACUCCGUGCCAGCAGCCGCGGUAAUACGGAGGGUGCAAGCGUUAAUCGGAAUUACUGGGCGUAAAGCGCACGCAGGCGGUCUGUUAAGUCAGAUGUGAGAUCCCCGGGCUUAACCUGGGAACUGCAUUUGAAACUGGCAGGCUUGAGUCUUGUAGAGGGGGGUAGAAUUCCAGGUGUAGCGGUGAAAUGCGUAGAGAUCUGGAGGAAUACCGGUGGCGAAGGCGGCCCCCUGGACAAAGACUGACGCUCAGGUGCGAAAGCGUGGGGAGCAAACAGGAUUAGAUACCCUGGUAGUCCACGCCGUAAACGAUGUCGACUUGGAGGUUGUUCCCUUGAGGAGUGGCUUCCGGAGCUAACGCGUUAAGUCGACCGCCUGGGGAGUACGGCCGCAAGGUUAAAACUCAAAUGAAUUGACGGGGGCCCGCACAAGCGGUGGAGCAUGUGGUUUAAUUCGAUGCAACGCGAAGAACCUUACCUACUCUUGACAUCCACGGAAUUUGGCAGAGAUGCCUUAGUGCCUUCGGGAACCGUGAGACAGGUGCUGCAUGGCUGUCGUCAGCUCGUGUUGUGAAAUGUU